CAAUAGCGUAUAUUUAAGUUGUUGCAGUUAAAAAGCUCGUAGUUGGAUUUCGGUUAAGAGCGACCGGCCCGCCGUUUGGUGUGCACUGGUUGGUUUUAACUUCCUGUAGAGGACGUGCUCUGGGUUUAACGACCUGGACUCGGAGUCUACGUGGUUACUUUGAAAAAAUUAGAGUGUUCAAAGCGGGCUUACGCUUGAAUAUUUCAGCAUGGAAUAACACUAUAGGACUCCUGUCCUAUUUCGUUGGUCUCGGGACGGGAGUAAUGAUUAAGAGGAACAGUUGGGGGCAUUCGUAUUUCAUUGUCAGAGGUGAAAUUCUUGGAUUUAUGAAAGACGAACUUCUGCGAAAGCAUUUGCCAAGGAUGUUUUCAUUGA
rnacentral:rRNA from 1 species